ACGCUGGCGGCACGCCUAACACAUGCAAGUCGAACGAAGUAGCAAUACUUAGUGGCAGACGGGUGAGUAACAUGUAGGUAUCUGCCCUUUGGCCUGGAAUAACACGAGGAAACUUGUGCUAAUACCGGAUAAGUCUUUACGGAGAAAGCUUUAUGCACCAUUGGAUGAGCCUGCACUUGAUUAGUUUGUUGGUGGGGUAAUGGCCUACCAAGACUGUGAUCAAUAGCUGAUUUGAGAGGAUGAUCAGCCACAUUGGGACUGAGACACGGCCCAAACUCCUACGGGAGGCAGCAGUGGGGAAUCUUGCACAAUGGAGGAAACUCUGAUGCAGCGAUGCCGCGUGAGUGAAGAAGGCCCUUGGGUUGUAAAGCUCUUUCGUCGGGGAAGAAAAUGACUGUACCCGAAUAAGAAGGUCCGGCUAACUUCGUGCCAGCAGCCGCGGUAAUACGAAGGGACCUAGCGUAGUUCGGAAUUACUGGGCUUAAAGAGCUCGUAGGUGGUUGAAAAAGUUAGUGGUGAAAUCCCAGAGCUUAACUCUGGAACUGCCAUUAAAACUUUUCGGCUAGAGUAUGAUAGAGGAAAGCAGAAUUUCUAGUGUAGAGGUGAAAUUCGUAGAUAUUAGAAAGAAUACCAAUUGCGAAGGCAGCUUUCUGGAUCAUUACUGACACUGAGGAACGAAAGCAUGGGUAGCGAAGAGGAUUAGAUACCCUCGUGGUCCAUGCCGUAAACGAUGUGUGUUAGACGUUGGAAAUUUAUUUUCAGUGUCGCAGGGAAACCGAUAAACACACCGCCUGGGGAGUACGACCGCAAGGUUAAAACUCAAAUGAAUUGACGGGGACCCGCACAAGUAGUGGAGCAUGUGGUUUAAUUCGAAGAUACGCGCAGAACCUUACCAACACUUGACAUGUUCGUCGCGACUCUAAGAGAUUAGAGUUUUCGGUUCGGCCGGACGAAACACAGGUGCUGCAUGGCUGUCGUCAGCUCGUGUCGUGAGAUGUUGGGUUAAGUCCCGCAACGAGCGCAACCCUCACUUUUAGUUGCCAUCAUUAAGUUGGGCACUCUGAAAGAACUGCCAGUGAUAAGCUGGAGGAAGGUGGGGAUGACGUCAAGUCCUCAUGGCCCUUACGGGCUGGGCUGCACACGUGCUACAAUGGUGGUGACAGUGGGCAGCGAGAUCGCAAGAUCGAGCUAAUCUCCAAAAACCAUCUCAGUUCGGAUUGUUCUCUGCAACUCGAGAGCAUGAAGUUGGAAUCGCUAGUAAUCGUGGAUCAGCAUGCCACGGUGAAUACGUUCCCGGGCCUUGCACACACCGC
rnacentral:rRNA from 1 species